GAUGAACGCUGGCGGCGUGCCUAAUACAUGCCAGUCGAGCGAACAGACGAGGAGCUUGCUCCUCUGACGUUAGCGGCGGACGGGUGAGUAACACGUGGAUAACCUACCUAUAAGACUGGGAUAACUUCGGGAAACCGGAGCUAAUACCGGAUAAUAUAUUGAACCGCAUGGUUCAAUAGUGAAAGACGGUUUUGCUGUCACUUAUAGAUGGAUCCGCGCCGCAUUAGCUAGUUGGUAAGGUAACGGCUUACCAAGGCAACGAUGCGUAGCCGACCUGAGAGGGUGAUCGGCCACACUGGAACUGAGACACGGUCCAGACUCCUACGGGAGGCAGCAGUAGGGAAUCUUCCGCAAUGGGCGAAAGCCUGACGGAGCAACGCCGCGUGAGUGAGGAAGGUCUUCGGAUCGUAAAACUCUGUUAUUAGGGAAGAACAAAUGUGUAAGUAACUAUGCACGUCUUGACGGUACCUAAGCAGAAAGCCACGGCUAACUACGG
rnacentral:rRNA from 1 species